UACGUAGGGGCCGAGCGUUGUCCGGAUUUAUUGGGCGUAAAGCGCGCGCAGGCGGCUUCGCGCGCCCGCCGUGAAAGCCCCCGGCUUAACCGGGGAGAGUCGGUGGGGACGGCGGAGCUUGAGGGCGGGAGAGGUCGGUGGAAUUCCCGGUGUAGCGGUGGAAUGCGUAGAGAUCGGGAAGAACAUCAGUGGCGAAGGCGGCCUGCUGGGCUGUUGCUGACGCUGAGGCGCGACAGCGUGGGGAGCAAACAGG
rnacentral:rRNA from 1 species